rnacentral:rRNA from 1 species
AUACAGAGGGUGCGAGCGUUAAUCGGAAUUACUGGGCGUAAAGCGCGCGUAGGCGGUUAUUUAAGUCAGAUGUGAAAUCCCUGGGCUCAACCUAGGAACUGCAUCUGAAACUGGAUAACUAGAGUUUAGGAGAGGGGAGUAGAAUUUCGGGUGUAGCGGUGAAAUGCAUAGGGAUCCGAAGGAAUACCAGUGGCGAAGGCGACUCCCUGGCCUAGAACUGACGCUGAGGUGCGAAAGCGUGGGUAGCAAACGGGAUUAGAAACCCCAGUAGUCC